AUUCCCCUGCGCGGUUCGUGAGGGAUAGAGAAUUUUUGAGCCAACACUCGAAAAUUGGGAACUGAACCCGAUUGUGGUGUGCAAGCCUACCGUUGAAGUAGGAAGCCUGAAACAACCGCUAGGAUCCCACCUGGGAAACCAGGUUCAAAAGUUCUAUUGCCACGGCCGACUGCGGGGGAUAA
rnacentral:other from 1 species